GGACGAACGCUGGCGGCGUGCUUAACACAUGCAAGUCGAACGGAAAGGCCCUGCUUUUGUGGGGUGCUCGAGUGGCGAACGGGUGAGUAACACGUGAGUAACCUGCCCUUGACUUUGGGAUAACUUCAGGAAACUGGGGCUAAUACCGGAUAGGAGCUCCUGCUGCAUGGUGGGGGUUGGAAAGUUUCGGCGGUUGGGGAUGGACUCGCGGCUUAUCAGCUUGUUGGUGGGGUAGUGGCUUACCAAGGCUUUGACGGGUAGCCGGCCUGAGAGGGUGACCGGCCACAUUGGGACUGAGAUACGGCCCAGACUCCUACGGGAGGCAGCAGUGGGGAAUAUUGCACAAUGGGCGGAAGCCUGAUGCAGCAACGCCGCGUGCGGGAUGACGGCCUUCGGGUUGUAAACCGCUUUCGCCUGUGACGAAGCGUGAGUGACGGUAAUGGGUAAAGAAGCACCGGCUAACUACGUGCCAGCAGCCGCGGUGAUACGUAGGGUGCGAGCGUUGUCCGGAUUUAUUGGGCGUAAAGGGCUCGUAGGUGGUUGAUCGCGUCGGAAGUGUAAUCUUGGGGCUUAACCCUGAGCGUGCUUUCGAUACGGGUUGACUUGAGGAAGGUAGGGGAGAAUGGAAUUCCUGGUGGAGCGGUGGAAUGCGCAGAUAUCAGGAGGAACACCAGUGGCGAAGGCGGUUCUCUGGGCCUUUCCUGACGCUGAGGAGGGAAAGCGUGGGGAGCGAACAGGCUUAGAUACCCUGGUAGUCCACGCUGUAAACGGUGGGUACUAGGUGUGGGGUCCAUUCCACGGGUUCCGUGCCGUAGCUAACGCUUUAAGUACCCCGCCUGGGGAGUACGGCCGCAAGGCUAAAACUCAAAGGAAUUGACGGGGCCCCGCACAAGCGGCGGAGCAUGCGGAUUAAUUCGAUGCAACGCGUAGAACCUUACCUGGGUUUGACAUGGAUCGGGAGUGCUCAGAGAUGGGUGUGCCUCUUUUGGGGUCGGUUCACAGGUGGUGCAUGGCUGUCGUCAGCUCGUGUCGUGAGAUGUUGGGUUAAGUCCCGCAACGAGCGCAACCCUUGUUCACUGUUGCCAGCACGUUAUGGUGGGGACUCAGUGGAGACCGCCGGGGUCAACUCGGAGGAAGGUGGGGAUGACGUCAAGUCAUCAUGCCCCUUAUGUCCAGGGCUUCACGCAUGCUACAAUGGCUGGUACAGAGGGUGGCGAGCCUGUGAGGGUGAGCGAAUCUCGGAAAGCCGGUCUCAGUUCGGAUUGGGGUCUGCAACUCGACCUCAUGAAGUCGGAGUCGCUAGUAAUCGCAGAUCAGCAACGCUGCGGUGAAUACGUUCCCGGGGCUUGUACACACCGCCCGUCAAGUCAUGAAAGUUGGUAACACCCGAAGCCGGUGGCCUAACCGUUGUGGGGGAGCCGUCGAAGGUGGGACUGGUGA
rnacentral:rRNA from 1 species